GACGAACGCUGGCGGCGUGCUUAACACAUGCAAGUCGAACGGAAAGGCCCUGCUUUUGUGGUGUGCUCGAGUGGCGAACGGGUGAGUAACACGUGAGUAACCUGCCCUUGACUUUGGGAUAACUUCAGGAAACUGGGGCUAAUACCGUAUAGGAGCUCCUGCUGCAUGGUGGGGGUUGGAAAGUUUCGGCGGUUGGGGAUGGACUCGCGGCUUAUCAGCUUGUUGGUGGGGUAGUGGCUUACCCAGGCUUUGACGGGUAGGCGGCCUGAGAGGGUGACCGGCGACAUGGGGCCUAAGAGAGGGCGCAGAGUGCUACGGGAGGCAGCAGUGGGGAAUAUUACACAAUGGGCGGACGCCUGAGGCAGAAACGCCGCGUGCGGGAUGACGGCCUUCGGGUUGAAAACCGCUUUAGCUUGUGACGAAGCGGGAGUGACGGUAAUGGGUGAAGAAGCACCGGCUAACUACGUG
rnacentral:rRNA from 1 species